rnacentral:rRNA from 1 species
GACGAACGCUGGCGGCGUGCUUAACACAUGCAAGUCGAACGGAAAGGCCCUGCUUUUGUGGGGUGCUCGAGUGGCGAACGGGUGAGUAACACGUGAGUAACCUGCCCUUGACUUUGGGAUAACUUCAGGAAACUGGGGCUAAUACCGGAUAGGAGCUCCUGCUGCAUGGUGGGGGUUGGAAGUUUCGGCCGGUGGGGAUGGACUCGCCGCUUAUCAGGCUGUUGGUGGGGUAGUGGCCUACCAAGGCUUUGAACGGUAGCCGGGCUUGGGAGGUGACCGGCCCCCUUGGGGGUGGGAAAACGGCCAGCCUGCUGACGGAGGGCGUAGUGGGGAAUUUUUUCCCAAGGGGCGAAGGCUGGUGCCAGAACGGCCGGUGGGGGAUAGCGGCCUUAGGGUUGUAAACCGCUUUCGCCUGUGACGAAGCGUGAGUGACGGUAAUGGGUAAAGAAGCACCGGCUAACUACGUG